UUUAUUAUGUGCUCUAAGGUCCACAUGGAUUAUCCUCAAAAUUCUUCUGUUUUCUGGGCUUCCAGGAGAGACUUAGUUAUACAAACAUGAGCUCAUCAGAGGCAAAGGAGUCUUUGUCCCACUUGGCUCUCUCAAGGGAAGGGAUGGGAUGAAUGCUGGGACAAACCCUGGACUAUUACAGUGGUUAAAAUCUUGGAAUCACAGAUUUUAGAUUGGAAAAGACUUUUAAGGUUAUUGAGUCCCACCAGUCCCAGGGAUCCAUGACCAACUCCUGGAGGAUGCUCCACUCUCUUUCACAACUGAGAUUUCUUCCAAGUUUCAGAACCUGUGUUAUUCUGGUGAUCA